GUUCCCAUUGGUGAUGUCAUUGGGAUAGCAUCCUGUUUAUCUCCCGUGCGCCAAGUACAUUUGCACACUGGGGUUUAUCCACUAUAGUAAUUUCGUUGAAAUGACAUAAGAAUUGCAAAUGUUAGGUUGAUAAACUGGGAAGAUCCUCCAGUGUCUAACGUCACCUACAAUUGGCAAUUUCCUUAUUAGUCCAUUUUAAACCCUGAUUUAUGCACAAUCUUAUUAAAAGCUUGUUGAUCCUAGGAGAAAGCUGAUUGCCAUUUUGGAG